GGGGUUGUAGCUCAGUGGUAGAGCACUUGCCUUGCAGGUGUGAGACACCGGGUUCAAUCCUCAGCACCA
rnacentral:tRNA from 1 species